CUAAUGCUAGUUAGUUACGGUAGUUAUUGUAGAUGUCUCCUUUUAUCUAUCAUUGGUGCUUUCAUUGAUCUUGCUCCACAAUCCAAAGAUAUGGAAGAGCUUCUUCAGGCCAUUCAAGACCGCCUCACAACCAUACAAUCUCAAAUGGAGGCUACAGAAGCUUGCCAGAACAAUCUGGAUGCACAUAAUGACCUCAUCCAGUCAUCCAUGUCUCUGUUACAAAACCAGGUUUCUACUCUACCUCCCCCACAAUCUUCACCUUUUACUACUGUAACCGCCCCUCAUCUUGGAUUUCUCCGCCAAGUGGCGUGAGUAUCCUCCAUCCUCCACCAUCACAACUCUCUUUUCUCUUCUCAAUUCUAAAUUCUUGUUUUAUUCUUUACUUUUCUUCAAUUCUUAUCUUCUAUACUUUCGCUCUUAUUUUCAUACUCUUAUGUGUGUAUUUUUCUCUUUUUCUCUUUGAAGAUAACCUUCACACUUAGUUAAUCACUUGGUUAAGUUUGUGUCCAAUGACAUCCUCACUGAGUGUUCACCAUAAUUGAUAAUCAAAUUCCUAACUCAAGUGAAACUAAUAAAUUAAUGUGUAUGUCUUGUAAUUCAACUCAUAUGAUGUGGUAUUUAGAGCAUGAUUUAAUUCAAAUUGAUCUUUGAUUUGAAAUAACUUGUUUAAUUUUUUUCAUGUUUCACGUGAGCAUAAUUGAAUUCGACAAUUG
rnacentral:lncRNA from 1 species